UGUGCUCCUCCGAUCUAAAACAGAUCUGUCCAAGGUCACAUGGCUGGUUAGCAGCAAAGAACCCAGGCAGCUAGAACUCACUUCGACUGUCUUCUAGUCCCGUGCUUUCUUCAUUUCUUUCAUGCUCUGUCUUUAACCCAACGCUUUCACCUGGCUUGGUGAAACAGCUCAAACCAUCACCUCACAGCUAGUGUCCCAAGCUGUCAAAGGGUACAGUAUGUUUCUGACUCCUCUCACACAGAGUGUGAGAACCCACAAGAAAAAACCAUUACGGGUACUCUGAAAAACUGUGGAGUGUUUUGGUACUGACUGAUUUUUGUAGUGUGCCAUUUUGAUUCCCUCUUCUUGCCUUUCCUAUAUUUUUUUAGUUAUCGUCUUAGUGGUCCCUUGGGAAUUACAACUAAACUAUUAAACUUCUAACAACCUAGUUUGAAAAAUUCCAACAUAGUUUCAAUAGUAUGCAAAUACUCUCUCUCCCUCUUUAUACAGGGUUUGGCAAAAGUAGGUUUA